rnacentral:lncRNA from 1 species
CUAUAAAAGAUGUAACAGAUGCAAACUGUAAAACAAGGGCAAUUAACCCUUGCUCUCCUGAGCAGGAUUCCCCCCUCCUCGCCUUCGCAUCUAUUGUCUUCCCCUGCACUGGGAGUUUUGUACAAAAUGUAGAA